CCUACGGGAGGCAGCAGUGAGGAAUAUUGGUCAAUGGACGAGAGUCUGAACCAGCCAAGUAGCGUGAAGGAUGAAUGCCCUAUGGGUUGUAAACUUCUUUUAUAGGGGAAUAAAAUGUGCCACGUGUGGGAUUUUGUAUGUACCAUAUGAAUAAGGAUCGGCUAACUCCGUGCCAGCAGCCGCGGUAAUACGGAGGAUCCGAGCGUUAUCCGGAUUUAUUGGGUUUCAAGGGAGCGUAGGUGGAUUGUUAAGUCAGUUGGGACUGUUUGCGGCUCAACCGGAAAAUUGCAGUUGAAACUGGCAGUCUUGCGUACAGUAGAGGUGGGCGGACUUCGUGGUGUAGCGGUUACAUGCUUAGAUAUCACGAAGAACUCCGAUUGCGAAGGCAGCUCACUGGACUGCAACUGACACUGAGGCUCG
rnacentral:rRNA from 1 species